AUCAGUUGAAGGUCCCUCAAAGAUACUAAACUAAAAUCAUUUUCAAAUUGAUUUCCCUUCAUCCUGCACAGGAUGCCUUCUGUUGUUCUCGUUGAGCAUCCUGUUUGCUCUCAGCCCAGCCAAGCUUUGUACCCUCAGUGCUGGGACAGAGGAUGGCUGCUCCCUCGUCCUCCCCCCCCCCCCCCCCCGCCCCACCAGUGUGUGACUCUUGGCUGGCAUCCAGUCCUGCCUUUUUAGUGGUGGGCACUGGGCCCAAACGGAACCACAGCCCUCCUAUUUCCCUCCUCCAUGAGGUGGGCAAAAGGGCUCCAUGGGGCUUAGACACUGAGGGAAGCAUCUGCAUGACUGAGCGGAGAAGGAAGGAGAUCUCUUGAAGCGGAAACGGUCUGUUGCCGAGUGGGGUCUUGGAAGGAAGCUGGAUAGAGAGAGAGCCUAAAAACGAGGAUGGAAGCUAAUAGCAGGGGAGCAUCUGUCAGAGGAAUAGCGCAUCCCAGUCCAUUCAAAUCCACCUUCUGCCAGAAUCUGUACAAGGACAAGGUGUGAAGCUGGAGGAAGAAACACCCCCCUGGGUCUGGGACGGUGACAUCACAGGCCAACCACCAACCAAGGCCAAGGAGACCAGAGCCUGGCUCCCUGCCCAGGACACCUAGUUACAUGGUGCUCACCUUGGCCCUGACUCCACCAUGGGCUUCAGGCUGCUCUGCUGUGUGGCUCUCUGUCUCCUGGAAGCAGUCCCCGGGGACACUGCAGUUACCCAGACACCAAAACACCUGGUCGCAGCGACAGGGAGUAAGGGGACCCUGAAGUGCGAACAACAUCUGGGACAUAACACUAUGUACUGGUACAAACAGAGUGCUCAGAGGCCACCGAAGCUCAUGUUUGCCUACAGCUAUAAGGAACUCGCCGAAAAUGACAGUGUCCCCAGUCGCUUCACACCCGAGUGCUCAGACAGCUCCCACCUGCACCUUCACGUGGCCGCCCUACAGCCAGAGGACUCCGCCGUGUAUCUCUGUGCGAGCAGCAAGGACACAGCCCUGCACAGCCAACAGCUCCCCGUGCACAAACUUCCUGGGUGCAGCCGGGGAGCCGUGGGGGCGACCACGGCUCAGCUCGACAUCUCCCGUGGGACCCCAGACAGACAGAAACCCCAGGCCACGACGUGCCGGUCGGUUCGCUGGAUGCGGCAAGGCCCAGUUCCCUGCACAGACGCCCACAGCCUGUGGCCUGGCUCUGCCCGGGGCCAGACUGUGCCCGCGGCUGAGUGCGGGACGGAAAGGGUCCACCUCCAGUUCCUCCGGUAGCUUCCGAUCGAUCGGCACGUGGCCCCGGGGACUCUUUCAGGAGACACGCUGCACUCUGGCCGCGGCGGCCCUGCCGAGCCUCCUGCCAACACGUACCUUUCUCUGCCUGUUCCUUCCACCCAGGUGAGACCCUGGAUCUCAGCCCUGGUCCCAGCUCCAGACGCGCUCCGAGCCCCUUUGCAGAACACCUGCUUGCUUCACCACAGGGCCCUGUCAGUCCCUACCACUGAGGAUAGUGGCUCCCUCGUGAGGUUCGGAUCGCUGUCCUCGAGGCCACUCUCUGCUGCACACCCGGGGACUCAGCUCUGCGCAGGCUCCUCUUCUUCUCGGGCUUUGACACUUUGAGGCUGGAUUCUUUUUCCUUCUGUCCCUUUAAUCCUAAUUCUUCAGGUCUCCACAUCCUGCGUUAUCAGCCAGAGAGCCUGAUGGCCCUGGAUCGUUGCCUGCAACAGGCAGGAAGGGGAGAAGGCCCCCCAGCGUUUUAGAGCAGGACCGUAUACUCGGGGUUGUCUGUGCUGAACCCCAUAUUUUCUGGCAUUGCCCCUUGCAAUGGCCCCAGUUCUGCACACACCUUGGGACCCCAAGGGCUGAGCGGAGCCCUGUGUCCUGGGGAGUCCAAUGCCCGCACUGACACAAAGGCUCCCUCCUCUCUCCUGUAGGGGGCAGUGAGGACCCCUGAGCAAAGUUUCAGACCAAAAAAACCACGUGCCGGUUCAACUAAUGUGGCAACUCUCCUAUCAAAGCACAUCCUUAGACUGUGGGGUUUCUUUUACCUGAAUGCAACUCUUCCCUGUCAACUGGUUGAAAGAGAUAAACACCUCUGGAUUCGGUAUUUUUUAAGGACUGUUUUAUCAUGAAAUAAAACUAGCCUGCUGUAAA